GUCUGUUUCGUGCCCGCUGCCCCGCAGCUGCACGGCUGAGAACAGAAUGUUGUUCUGCAAAUGCAGUUAGCAACCUGAUCUGGCCAUGCUCUGGCGUCUGUCUCCCAGCAACCUCUUUGUCUUCGGCUGCUCUUCGUCAUUCCCAGAACCCGUGGCCCUCACAUGACCCCUGUCAUCAGGAAGGCUCCUUAUCUCCUGCAGCAGCGCUUCUGGGUUAGAAGGUAAACGGCACGGCUCGGAGCGAGGUGGAAUUCUACAAAUCACAGUAAUUUCAGGGAGAUCCAAACCGCAGUGAGCUCCAUCUGCGGCCCAGCCUUAGCCUGGUGAAGCUCUCAUCCUUAAAGGUCAGUGCAAGCCUAGUUACUGCACAGUGGUGCGCACCUAUAAGCCCGGCUUCUUGGCAGGUUGAAGCAGGAGGUCCACGAGUUCGAACACAGCUUGGCCUACACAGGUGACUGUGUCUCAGGGAUUUAUUUAUUACGUAUACAGUGUUCUGCCUGCAUGUGCACGUGCAGGCCAGAAGAGGGCACCAGAUCUCACAGAUGGCUGUGAGCCACCAUGUGGUUUCUGGGAACUGAACUCAAGAAGAGCAGCCAGUGGUCUUAACCUCGGAGCCAUCUCUCCAGCCCUGAUUAUGUACUCUUAAAACCGAUGUUUACUGCACAUUAAAUAUGCCCAAUAAAGUUUAU